rnacentral:rRNA from 1 species
ACGGGUGAGUAACGCGUGGGAACGUGCCCUUUGGUACGGAACAACUGAGGGAAACUUCAGCUAAUACCGUAUGUGCCCUUCGGGGGAAAGAUUUAUCGCCAUUGGAGCGGCCCGCGUUGGAUUAGGUAGUUGGUGAGGUAAAGGCUCACCAAGCCUACGAUCCAUAGCUGGUCUGAGAGGAUGAUCAGCCACACUGGGACUGAGACACGGCCCAGACUCCUACGGGAGGCAGCAGUAGGGAAUCUUGCGCAAUGGGCGAAAGCCUGACGCAGCCAUGCCGCGUGAAUGAUGAAGGUCUUAGGAUUGUAAAAUUCUUUCACCGGGGAAGAUAAUGACGGUACCCGGAGAAGAAGCCCCGGCUAACUUCGUGCCAGCAGCCGCGGUAAUACGAAGGGGGCUAGCGUUGCUCGGAAUUACUGGGCGUAAAGGGCGCGUAGGCGGAUACUUAAGUCGGGGGUGAAAGCCCAGGGCUCAACCCUGGAACAGCCUUCGAUACUGGGUAUCUUGAGUACGGGAGAGGUGUGUGGAACUCCGAGUGUAGAGGUGAAAUUCGUAGA